AGUAAUGUCUGGGAAACUGCCUGAUGGAGGGGGGUAGCUACUGGAAACGGUAGCUAAUACCGCAUAACGUCGCAAGACCAAAGAGGGGGACCUUAGGGCCUCUUGCCAUCGGAUGUGCCCAGAUGGGAUUAGCUAGUAGGUGGGGUAAUGGCUCACCUAGGCGACGAUCCCUAGCUGGUCUGAGAGGAUGACCAGCCACACUGGAACUGAGACACGGUCCAG
rnacentral:rRNA from 1 species